CGCCGACCACCCCAUGCUGGGCGCCCAUUGGCCGCGCCGGGCGCUCUCGUGAGGCGGGGCUCGGCGCGGAGACACAGAGGACGGCGCGAGAGGCGGGAGAAGAGAAGGAAGGAGGGAGGCGAUGCGGGGGGGAUGAGAUGGGCGGCGGCGCGCGCAGGUGUGCAUGUGAGGAGCGGCUGAGGGCGAUAUGCGCAUGCGUGCGCGCCGCCGUUGCCGUCACCCAGCGCACGUGGCCGCGCACCUUCACCGUGAGAGCCGCGCUCGAAGCGCGGGCGUCUCCUUAGCGCCGCCGCUGGCCCGUGUGGAGACGCCGUCUGUGGCGGGGUGAUCACGUCGUCACGAGGGGCCGGCAGAAGUCCCGGAGGGGAAAUAUGUCUGCGUGAGUGUUUGGGACCGACGAUCCUAAGACGCAGCCGCCCCGAGCAGCCUCACUGCCUGAGGUGGCCCUGCUGGCCCGGCAUCGGCAUCUCCUGUACUGCCUGAGGGGUGGCCCUCGGACAUGGCGGCCGCUGCCUCUGCACUGCCACCUCUAGCUGGAAUAUGACUCACAGCAGUUCAGACGUUACGUUCCGAGGGCACAGAGGCCCUGUCAGUCACAUCCAGCCCACUCCGUUGGAGUGGGAGCACAGCCCUAGAAGGUCACUGAGCCCCAGCGUCUGCCAGCACACCUGCCACUGCAACCAGGGCAAGCGGCCUUUAAAUAACCCUUUUUGUCCCUUUCCACCUGUUGUGGAAGAGCUCAGUGCAGCCUCAUAGCUACAGUGAGCCCUGUUUUGCUCUUAAAGUAACAGCUGAGCCACUCUUUUCUACCAAAAAUGCUGCAUAUCACUCGCAAGUGAAUAUCAUGAUGCAGAUCAAGCUAAGAAACAGACACAGCUUUGAUGAAGUAGAAACUUGCCCUUUGUGGUUUGCUUUCCAGUCACACAACAUUCUCACAUUCUCUCUGCCUCCCUUUCCUUUCCUUGGCCGCCUCCUCAAGUUGCCCUUCCAAUGCACUUAGCCAACAAGGCCUGGAUCAGCUCCUGCCUCCUCAGAGGCACCACUAUAGUAUCCCACUUCCCGUUCACACCUUUUGCUUCCAAAUCCCAAGGUUUUUUUCCUUUGUGUUCCUUGCUGUCACUUCCUGCCAGCUACGUCUGCUCCCACUGCCACCCACAACUGCUGUGGCACAACCACAGUUUGCACUGUGCUUCCCCAUGCAAACAGGAGAGGAGCUGCCACCUGUGCUAGACAAAGCAACAAAGCAUCACAACUUAAUGCAAGAUGAUCAACUUCUCCCCUCGAGGGUGGUCUCAAGGCCUUCCUGAUACCCAACACAGCAACAAAGCUUCUCUUGUGCUCUGUCUGCAUCUCCCGAGAUUGAUUAAUAUGGAUGUUUUCACACUCAGACAAGUUUGUAUUCCUGCUCUUCUCUGAACUUCAAGUUGUAUGGUUGAAGGUACAAAACUGGACUGUCUGUGGUACCUUUCCAGCUGAGUGCCCGAGUCCUCCCGUGCUGUCAAAUAAAGGAGUUAGAUCUUCACAUCCUUCGGGGUGGCAGUGACGCUCAGAUAAGUGAAGAAAACUCGUGUUCGUUUUCCUCUGUGUAUAUGUAAACGUCUGGGGGGUGUUGGCAGCUCCUGAUAGUGAUUAAUGGCCUUACAGUUUACAUAGAGUAUAGUGGUAGUUGCUUGUUGUUCUCAAGAAUGGAAUAAACAGGGCCUAUUCAUAAAGACAGUCUCCUCUUUGAUGCAGAAGUUCAGAUCUCCCAAUGUUUCUUUCUUUAGAUAGAUAUAUUACUACAAGACAGAGACAUAAUUGGUAAUUGUGCCUAGUUUUUGUAACAUCAGCUGUACCUAUUAAACGUGGACCCUUGAUUUGGUGAGCGAAGCCAGAAAACGUGCUAAAUCCUCACAAAUACAAUGUAAUGGUGUGUGAAAAAGCGAAGAAUAAAUUUCCCACUAAGUAUUCCUGCUAUACAGAAUGGGCACACAUAAAAUCAUGCAAGUCAGCGUGAUGAAUAGCAGCUUAACGUUUUUAUAGCCCUCCAUCCAGAAGAAUCUCACAGAAAUUAUUGUAUAGAAAUAGAAAACAAGGAUCAUUUUAACACUGGGAGCCUGGUCUUCCACAGAAGCUUUGCAGGCUGACGCUCUGUAUUUGAAACAAAGAUCCCCCUGGCAGUGCAGUGCAAGACAACAUUUUUUUUUAGAGUGUAUGAAAGUUUUUAAAUGACUGAAUACACCAAGGAGUUGAAGGCUGAACAACACUUGAAGCGCACAUAAGCUCGUACUUGAUAGUAAAGUCUGACUGACAUAUCAGUGCUUACUCUAAGCAGCAGGCAGAGGCACACCGGCUGGUUUGCUGCGUGUAAUCAGUUUGACAGCCCCCAGGAAUUGCCGAGUCUCCAUGACCCUGGAAAGACAGUUUGGCACAUAUAUUAAACAAAUACCUCCCCUCCAACUGUUUAUUCAUCUCCACUAGUCACAGACCUUCCCAGCCUGCGCUCACAUUAGCACUGAGUGGUUAGAUAAUGAUGGAAGAAUCUUCCACGUGUCCUCACAGUUGUUGCAGUCAGAACCCUCAGAUGAAAAUACUGCCGGAUUAAAUACUGCCUUUGAAGCAGGAUGGUGCUUCAGUAGCAGAGACAACACAGUGAGUAAUGUCGUAUAAUUGAGUAAAUCCAAUGAUUCCGUUGGGAUUUUUUUUUCCCCUUAGUUUUUGGCUAAGUUCCCAUUAGAUGUAGUUGCUAAACUUCAUUUUUAUUCUUUCCUAAACCAACAUUUUUAACUUAGCAGAGUGCUCGCCUGUAAUCUAGGAAGAGCUGGAUGGUCAUCUGACACUUUUUCUCAUUCCCAGAUACUAGAGACAAAAAGGCAGCCUAUACAUAUACAUAUACAUAUAUAUACAUAUAAACAAUGUAAAAAUAAAAUAAAAAUUCUUAGUCAGUGAGACCUAAGACACUUCUGAACAUGAGAUGUAGGCUCUUCAGAUCUGUGAGUGCUUAUGAAUGUUUUGUUUCUUCCUUUCUCAUAAGGUGAAGGGUUGUGAGUAGUGCAGGGAGCUGAAACGAUCUGUUCCUUCCAGAAUAUAAGGGGAAAAUGCUUACUGGAAGAUUCUCUUAAAGUUACAUUUGGAAUUGUGAAAUUAAGAGUCCCUGUCCAGAGAGACGUAUCUACCUGUCCAGAUGUGCUACUGCCACUUCCAGAUGUGGAUAUCCAUCUCCUCCAGCCUGAGGAGUUCACAGCUCAAGAUGGGAUCUGGAAUAUACAAAAGACUUGUUCAGAAACAUGUAUUGGCAUGUGCCAGAGUGGUUCUUCACUAUCUGCAGUGCCCGCAGGAUACUGAGAUUUCUCUGAUGCAUUCGUACCUGCAGAUCUUCCAGCCCUUUCGUUAGGGAUACUCAAUCACUAGUUCUGCAGGACAGAAUUAGGGCCAAUCCAUUCUGUGCUGAGGCUGUGGGAGCCUUCAGCCAAGCUCAGUACGGCUAGAAUGGUUUCACAGAAAAUGUCUGAAAAACAUUAGAUUUACUUGAAACAAUCUGAUCGUUAAUCAAUACCUGUUGUAGAUGGUUUAAUGUUUGCAUUUGAGGCUCUUCUACUACAUACAAUCUUGUGGAAUGAAAGCUCUGAACAGAAGUUGUUGGACAAACUGACCACUCACAGAAGGUAUUCCUAGGUAGAACAAUCAAUCACUAACAGACACUUUCAGACUGAAAUACUGCAAUAUUAAUACUGGGAGGUACUCUGGAAUAGCUGUGCCAGCUAUGUUUUAGUGUAGAAGGACCCAAAAUAAUAAACAGAGGAAGUAGCUAUUUGCCUUUGCUUUCUGCUCUGUCCAGAGAAAGACUAAUUUCCUUGUAGCUAGGGCAGAAGGUCCAGUACUGGAUAGAGUCCUUAUAAAUAGACACUGUAGAUCUGGAUCAAAAGUACUCAAAUCAUAGAAUGGCUUGGGUUGGAAGGGAACCUCAAAGAUCGUCUAGUUCCAACCCCCUGCUGUGGGCAGGGUUGCCAACCAUUAAAUGUGUGUGAAAGCUGAAUCAAAGGUUUAGGAUAUCUAAGCAGUAGGGAUGCAGCAAUGUUGAGGAGUCACAAAACUAUACUUUCUUCUUCUGUAGGUUUUCCUUCAGAGAGCUUCAGAUAAUCAUCUCUCACUUUUCCACUCGCGGGGAAGUUAAGAAGCACACCCCUUUUCCACAAACAGAAUCCAUAAACAUUUGCUUUCCAGUACUUUAUGGCCAAUUCUCUAAACUCGUAUUUAUCACCCCCUUACUCCUAUGAAGGAAAAUUCUUGCUGAGUCCUAAACCAAGUUGAGUUCUUCCAGAUUUGGGCCCUCAGGAAGAGCCAUAAAGACCACAGUUUUACGCAGUGUAUUCCAUCCAUUGUCUUGCUACCCAGGGGCAGCAGCUUUUGUGGGAAUCACGAAGGACUUCCCUUGUUACGGAGAGCGCUAUCGAUACGUGAACUCUCAGGGGAAGUAACCUCUGUUUCUAUGCAGGAAAUAUCAGAUUAAAACAAAUACACUGAAUAUUGCUCAGUGAAGAGUGAGUAUGAUAUUUACAAUCCUGCUGCCUCCAGUUGGCGUUACUCAGACAUCCGCAGCACGUCUUGAGCUUUCUGUGGGAGUGCAGUGACAGAAGAGGUGAAACAAAAAGGAGGAGAAUGCGUAGAGAUGUCAUACACAGUUUUUGCUAUAACAAUGCAUUGUACACAUUAUUCUUUUCAUCUGAGAAUGUCAAAGCUCGUAAAAGAAUCUAGCUAAAUAUAAAAACUCUGUGAGAAAAGUAAUUCUUGUAUUGAUUAACUACAUGCCAGAGUUAUCCAGUUAUCCCUCAUUAGAGCCAGAGACAGAAUGUAGGAAUAGAGCUAGGCUUCAGCUUCAGCUACAUAAAAUGCUGCUCGAGUUGCCAACAAUGAAGAUCUGCAAGUGGAAUUUGGUUAAUUGUGUCAGUCUGUAGGAACGCUUAUUAUUUGUGGGUAUUACAAUGGCUCUGAGAGUCCUGAGAGUCCUGUAACUGCCAUCCCUUUGCGCAAGGUGCUGUCUGAACACAAAGCAAAGAGGUGGCUCUGGCUUGGAAGGAUCUGAAGUCUUUGAGGACGUUGUUUGACUCAUUUUUCUGCUAGAAGGUCCUGCUUAUACAUUCCCCCCCCCUCCCCACAUUCCUCCUCUCUUCCCCAUCGUGCUGGCCUUGGAUUGUGCCAGUGCUGGUUUUUUUGUGCAGCCUCGUGUUAAACUGAAUCGGGAACCUGAUUUCAAUUAAAAAAUAGUCCUCAGAAAAACACUUAUUUUUAACUGAGACUAAUACUCUGAUCUGUUCCCUGCUGCAGAUGCACAAAGAAUGCCACAAGAGACAAGGUCGCGUAACGGCAGUGGCACGACUGGAAAAUAAUUUCAUCUGCCUUUACAAAGAAAGCUGAGGAGGGUGUAAAACAAAGUAGAGACCGUUUCCCUCCCACCACAGCCGUACGUCUAUUAUCUGACUCACCACUUCUGGGAUUCCUUCUGGCAGUGCUGGUUUUAUUGCAAUGAAAACUCAAGCGUGUGAAAAAUAUUCCCUAUUUUCUGAGGACUGUUCUAUUCUCUGUUCACUGUUUCGUUCAGGUCAGUAUUCCUUCCUUUAAAGGUUUGGAACUAAAGAUUCAGAAAGUGCUGUUCUUAAGCCUUGUGAGAAGGACUGGCACAGUGGAAAGGAAGGGGGAAGGGAGAAAUGAAAGGGGAGGAGAGUCCAUAUCUGAAGAGAGACUCCAGACUAGAGAAAUUUUACUGACAUCCAUUCAGUAUCCAGCAGGGUCUCCUUCAAGGGCUUUUACUGAGAUCCAAAGACUCUUGCAAUUCACAGAGGCAUUUACAUGCAACGUUGCCCUCUGGGAGCUAAGGUAUAACUGUACUCCUGGAUAAUAAUAACAAAGAAUACUACCAGAUUCCCAUUGAAAUGUCAACCAGGCACUACUGUUCUAGAGAGCAACAAAGAGAUGCUAAUAUAAUUAAUUAUGAAGCCUCAGUACCCUCAUUAACACUUCUUUAGUGCCCAGAUCUUUGAAAAUCAGCUGUAUAAAGUGACUGUCAGAGUUAAUUCCUUAUAAAUUGCCUCCUGUCACUGCAGCAAGUUCUCCCAGGCCGUGGUGAUGCUGAGAAAUCUGUUGUGUGGGAUUCUUUUUUUUUUCUUCUUCUUCUUUUUUUUUUUUUUUUUGUUAGUACUGAUGCAGUCGUAUUGGUUAUUAAAAGUUUAACAUAUAAAGGUUGAAUGAGCAGGAGUUUGUCAGGAUAGGAUAGAGCAAAAUCAAAAAGCCUUUAGAUAACCCAGCUUCCAUAGACUGGUAACACAAAUAGGGAAAGUUUGAAUUGCUUAAAUGGAAAACUAAGGAAAAACAGGAACGAAAGGUGUGACAUUUGGCAUUAAGAUGUUUCCGGACCUUUUUCAAUGUGAGGAUGGCAGCCAGUUUAUAGCCUUCUCUCCUCCUACUGCCUUUACGACAGCAUUUCAGCUCCAGGCCUCAUUCCGAUGCAUCCUCCCUCCCCACCACUCCCGCUUACAAAUAUAUAUUUCAAUAGGCUUAGGCUGCACGGAGUUCCAAACCCAGCAUGUAAUGGGUACAAUUGUUUUCACGCUUUUCCACAGAGAGCCACAUUCAUGCCUUUUGGGGCUCUGCUUUGUCAUGUUCUUGCUCUUUUUUUUCUUUAAGUUAGACCGGGAUCAGAACCCUACACAAACACUAACAAAAAAGCUCAACAAACCACCUACGUUUGCAGUUCAUUCCGUUACAUCCCCCUACCAUUCCGUCUCCUAAAGGAUAUAAAGAAGCAAUCUGUUAGAGAAGAAACCUGGUCAUUAGAGAUCACUUUGCAUUUUUUGCAGCAGUAGAAACACUGAAUGGUGACGUAGCAAACUGUACACAACAGCCUGCUCAAUCUUCUGUGUACUUCUGUACUUUUGAGGAGAUUUUCUGCAGUGUAAAAUUGCAUGGGGUUAUCUGUGUUUGUACAGUGUGCUCCAAGACCCUUUGGGCUCCUUGCUAUGUGUAGGAUAACAGACUGAUCUUAAUGGGAUAUUCUUAUUCACCAUUUCAGAAGUGGCUGUAGCACCAGGUGUAAGAUGAUUUUGCUGUUCCAGCUAAACUGACAACAUGCAAACUCUUUAAACGGAGGUAAAGUUUAUAUUAACAAAAGUAGUCCUUACAAAUGGGGCUGUCCUUCCUACUGUAUUUGCUGGCAUUAUUAGGAAAAUGGUUUUAUUCUCCACUCUUAGAUCACAUAUCAACGUCUCAGUAAAGCUAUGAUGUAUUGAUCACUCAGUGUUUAUAUAAUUCAUAUUUAAUAAACAGAAGUGCAAAGGAUGCUCCAAAAGUAAUGCAUCCUAUUUUAUGAUGUUGGCCCACAAUGUCAGAGGCAGAUGGUGGUGGUAUGGCAGUAGAGGCUGAACCUUCUUGCUCAUUGCUGGCAAAAAUACACAGCUAAUGGUGGUGACUGUGUAGAAAGAUGGCGUUUUGUAACUGAGAAUUUGCUUUAUCAACUCGUGUUAUUGUACUCUUUGCAUCUGUUGUAGUUUCCAUGGAAAUAAAUAGGAGGCAUUACUUUCAGAGCAACCUAUGCUUGAAAUUAAAUAUCUAGCUUUCUGAAGAGCAGUCAAGAACUAUCACACAAAUUGUGCUUGCUUUACAUAAAUAUAAAUUCGAUAGAACUUCGUAGAAUGUAACUAUUUCAGAAUGGCCUUUUAGAAACAGCUUAUCUGCAAGAGAUGCUACUUGGACGAAUAGUACCUAUUUGCAGUGCUUUUUGAGAUAUUCAGGUGCUUCACACAUACCAACUCAAAUUUGAACAGCUGUUUGAGAUGCUAUAAACAUAGUAUGAGUUGGUAAAUUGAUACACAGAUCGGAUAAAUAAUAUUUAGUCACAUACAAUGAAUACGGAAUUAAUUUAAUGGAUCUCAGUGUUUUCUUCCAUGCUGUCAGCACUGCAGCGGGUCAGCUACCUUUUAAGGGUGGGAUGCCAGAUUGUACAUUUAUUUCUGAGAUUAGAUGGUGGGCAUGCUGAUAUAAGCUCAGCAGGAAUGAGGGGAUGCUGUGUCUAAAAAGAGAGAGCUGCUGCCAAUCAUAUUGCUGACAGUAUCUUGUCUGUGUCCAAAGCAGAGGCUCCCAGCUGCCACCACACUUGCAGCACCACGACAGCCAGAAAUUGGGAUCCCAAGCCUUUCGAUAUGCCAUGGCUCCUGGCCCUGUGCCAGCUCUUCCUUGCCGUUCAGAAUCCGCCUGCAUGGAGUCUUCACACUCCUGUGGUGGCAGCUUGCUGCCACCUGCAACAAAGCAAGCUUUCCCUAUGCUCCUUCCACAAAGGUAUCCCAUUUUUGUCACGUUGGACUGAAGUCUCUUAUUAUCGAUGUGGGAAUAGCUAUGGGAUAUACAAUACCUGUACUGUGCAAGAAAUCCUACCUAUAAUGUUUAAAAGGGACCCCUCCUCCCAUUCUGAUUCUACAAACCCUAACAGAUCUAUGACUAAUGGAGAUGGAUUAUUUUUAUAACAUAUAAUGCAUGUAUGUGCAACAGAACUUCAGAAAUGAGCCAACAUCUUUUCUGCCAAAAUUUCAAGUAUCAUUUUCAAAGCAAACGGGAUCGCAUUUGCAGAGGGAAUUUGGGCAAGGGGUGGGGGAAGAACAAGGUCAGGAGUGGAGAAUAAUGUAUAAGCCCUGUAUGAAUGAACCCAAAGAAGCAAUGGCUAGAGGACUCACACAGCCUGAGGUUACACACUUGGAAUCCACAUGAGGGCCUGAGCCCUCGUUAAGCUGCUGAACAUCUAGCUGGCUGCACAGAUGCUGUGCUCUGAAUGCAGCACAGCUGUGGUGACCUUGCCUUCCAUCAGGUUUAGUGAAUGUCUGAACACCUGUUUUUUUAAACCACAGAUUUCUAACAGCAACAACAACGAUUUGUACGUAAGCAAUGCAUCCACAAAGUAUCUAUCACAUACAGUUGAAGCAGUGCUCUAGUUUAGGGACUAGGGUCCUGUUUUUCCUUCUGCCAUACAUGUUCAGCACGGUGUAGCUUACAACACUUACACUUCAAAUGCCCACUGUUAAAAAAAAACAAAAUCAGCAGCUCUGGUAGCUCACUACCUCAGGGGUAAAGGAAGAUUCUUGUGAUGUUUCUGGAGUACAAGAUGAGGGGUAUCACUGGUAACACUAAAGAUGAACAGAUUUCAGCCAGCUCCCUACAGGUCUUGCAUUUGAACUCCAUGAUCACCAUCUACAGAAGCACAAUAGGAUGCAACUGUUGUUGAAAACAGCAUGGGGUACACCAAGCUACUGGUGAACCUAAAAGAGCAUCCUUUCAAACAAUGCUACAAAUGUCAGGGCUUUCCAGUCAUUUUCCUCUUGGGUCAUACCUGCUUGUCUUCUUGCCUUCACGUUUGUACAGUCCUGAUUGUUUUUCUCCACGGAUAUCACCAUUUAAUGCAAACUUGAGGGCCUCACUGAUGGUACCCUCUAGAUCAGCAGAGCAAACAACCUCACUCUAAAGCAAAUGACCUC
ensembl:lncRNA